rnacentral:rRNA from 1 species
UAAGCGGAGGAGCCGGUCUUCGGACAGGCGAGCGCCCGCCAGAGUCUAACCAAACUCUUGUUUUAAACCAGUCGUCUGAGUAUAAAAUUUUAAUUAAAUUAAAACUUUCAACAACGGAUCUCUUGGUUCUCGCAUCGAUGAAGAACGCAGCGAAAUGCGAUAAGUAAUGUGAAUUGCAGAAUUCAGUGAAUCAUCGAAUCUUUGAACGCACAUUGCGCCCCUUGGUAUUCCGAGGGGCAUGCCUGUUCGAGCGUCAUUACACCACUCAAGCAUUGCUUGGUAUUGGGCAUCGUCCGCCGUAAAGGCGGGCGUGCCUCGAAGUCCUCGGCGGGGUUUCUCCCACUUCGGGCGUAGUAGAGUUAAAUACAAAACCGUCUUAUAAGCUUGGUGAGAUCUCAUCGCCGUUAAACCUUUUUAUAUUU